rnacentral:other from 13 species
UCCCUGUGCGCUUGUAGUAAGGAGCCUGUGCCCCAGAGAGUCCCGGGUGGCACCCGGCGCUCCAGGCCAUGCAGCCACGGCCACCACGUAGCUCGCAGCGGCGGUAGCGCCCCCUGUGAAGCGGCCCGCGAUGCCCCUACCGCUGUGAACUCUGCAGCCCGCCCGAACACUCUCCGCCCGGGACCGGCUGUACUUCGGACACGCUCGACUCUGAGCGCCAGCGACAAGCGACGAGGAGUCCAGAGAGCUGCAAGCUCGGAGAAGGCCUCCCCGCACAGGUGGGGGAAGCCGGCCGGUGCAGCGCGGGGACAGACACUCGGGCUGGCGCUGGCGGCUAGGC